AUCCGGUUGACGGGUCUCGAAUAGGACGAAACGCGCGUCAAACUGGAU
rnacentral:hammerhead_ribozyme from 1 species